GCGUUGCCGAGGAGUCCCACAAUAGGAUGAAACGACCGUCCAGUGC
rnacentral:hammerhead_ribozyme from 1 species